rnacentral:rRNA from 1 species
AAAAGUGAAAUUGAUUGUUUUUUGUAAACUGUUUGCUUGUUGUUGAGGCUGAUAAUUUUUAGAUUUAAACUAGGAUUAGAUACCCUAUUAUACUAAAAAGAAAUACUUUAAAACUGGAUUAUUAAUAGUUAUGUUCUUUAAAUUUGAAUAAUUUGGCGGUAGUUUAGUCUUGUCAGAGGAACCUGUUUUUUAAGCGAUAAACCACGUAGUAUUUUACUUGAGUUUGUAUACCGUCAUUGGCAGAUAAUUUUUAGAGAAAAAAUUAUUGCAUUUAAUAGUUUAAUAAAAUUAGAUCAAGGUGCAGCUUAUAAACAAGUUAAAAUGGGUUACAAUAAAAUUUAUUUAUAAUGGAUAAUAAGAAUUUUAAAAGGAGGAUUUGAUUGUAUGUGCGUUUAAUAUGCUUGGAUGAUAUUAGCUCUAAAUUAUGUACAUAUUGCCCGUCGCUUUC